rnacentral:lncRNA from 10 species
UACAAAUCAAUAAGGAAAAGGCAAACCACCCAGAAGAUAGAUGAGCAAGGAAUAUAGACAGGCACUUCGUAAAGGGAAACAUACAAGCAGCAGCUGGAAGCCUCUAGAAAGAGCAGCAGAAGGACCCAGUAAGCUUGAGAGUGAUCACCUGGAGUGACCUCCAGGGGACCUCCCACCUCACGAGUGAUCAUAGCAUGACAAAUUAAAGCAGGAGAUAGCAUUUUGUUGUGAUCUGGGUGAAAAAUGCAAACGACGUGUAAUUCUUUGUCCACAGUGUAGAGAAGGGGCAGGCAUUCACUGUUGGUAGUAAUGUUGGCAUGUUUUUGGAGGGUAGUGAGGCAGUAUUGAUUAAAAUGGUAAAUGCCUAUGCCAUUUGACCAAACAAUUCCACUUUUAGGAAUCUAUUCUACAGAGUUAUUUCCAUGAGUAUAUAAGGCUGUAGCUACAAGGAUACACAUGGCACUGUUGUUUGUAACAGCAACAAAUGGGGAACAGCACAAAUGUCCCAUGGGCAUGGGGUUGGCUGGAUACAUCCCAGUAAAUAUGUCCACACAACACAGAACAAUUCUGCUAUUAAACGUGGUAGAGUAGCCCUCUAUUUACUGACAUGGGAAGGUAGUCAUGACUCACUGCUGAGUGAAAAAGGCAUAUAAGAAAACAUCAGGCUGGGUGCGGUGGCUCACGUCUGUAAUCCCAGCACUUUGGGAGGCCGAGGCGGGCAGAUCACAAAGUCAGGAGAUCGAGACCAUCCUGGCUGACACGGUGAAACCCCGUCUCUACUAAAAAUACAAAAAAAAAUUAGCUGGGCAUGGUGGCGGGCGCCUGUAGUCUCAGCUACUUGGGAGGCUGAGGCAGGAGAAUGACAUGAACCUGGGAGGCAGAGCUUGCAGUGAGCCGAGAUCGCACCACUGCACUCCAGCCUGGGUGACAGAGCAAGACUCUGUCUCAAAAAAAAAAAAAGAAAAGAAAACAUCAGGUACGAUCAGUGGUGUUUUAUUAAACUAAAUUUUUAAAUUGUGCUUACAGACAUAAAAUUGUGGAAGAGAGAUCAUCAGAUUAUUUGCAGGAAGACAUCUUAGUGGAAGUUGGACAGUUGGAGAGAGCUGCUUUGGUUGUGUGCCUAUGUGUGAGUGAGUUGGGGAGAAUUACUUUGGUGUGUGGGCCUGUGUGUGAGUGAGUUGUGCAGAGUCGCUUUGGUGUGUGGGCCUGUGUGUGAGUGAGUUGGGAAGAAUUGCUUUGUGUGUCUGUGAGUGAGUGUGUCUGUGUGUGUGUUGUGUUGCUUUUCAGAGUUAUUCAACUCUUAUAAAAAUGUCUUUAUUUUCUAAGAAAGAAAUAGUUGUUAUCACUUUGAAAAUAUGAUCCAUGAUUGUGUUUUAAAACUAUAUAUAUGGCCAUGUUGUAACAUUUUUUAAAAAGACCAUCUGCAGAGCAAGGUGCUUCAGUGAUUAUCUCAGCACGAGGAAAUCACUUCAUUUUUUGUGUGCUUAACUGUACAUUCUCAAUUUUUGCCAUGGAAAUGCAUUAUGUUUGUAAUCAUAAAAGAACACACUUACUGGGUGAAGAGGAAGGACCCUGACACAUGUACUAAGAAGACAGCAUGGGCCCACGCAUCUGACCACGUGACUGGUGUCACGUGCUUGACCAGCUGUUUAUCAGCUUCGCCUCUCCACUUGCAGGGCAGCUGAGCACAAAUACUCCAGGGGACACAGUGGGCCCAGCACCCCGGCCACAUGUGAUGGAGCCUCCAGGCCUGCCCAGCACCUACUGCCCUGGGACAGGCUCUCUUUCAAGUCAGCUCCUCUGUCCAGGAAGCAUCUGAGAGGCCCUGUGGUCCUGGCCAAGGAGGCAGGCCGUAAGGAGGGCAGGCCCGAGGACGUAGGUGUGGCAACACUCCGUGUGGAGUAGUCUCUGAGGCCAGACCUGCGGUUCCUGUUUCCUGUGCCCUGGGGACCCAGAGAAAGAAGACGGAUGGGCGCUGCAGUGGGGCGGAGCAGGCCUGAGCCCAGCUCGAGGAAAGCUUGCCUUCUCGUCUAGUGUCCCCGUGUUUUACAUAAUUAGCUAAUGACGCCGCCUCGCAGCUCCUCCAGAAGGUAAAGACGGGAUUACGGGACACCUGGCACACAGCCUGGCGGAUGGCACUCACUGCUGUUUUCCUCCGUGACAGAGAACCGCAGAACUUCCUUCACAGUUGGCGAGCUAUUCAGAAAUGAUACCCGAGUCCGAGGCUCGGCCUUCACUCGCUCCAAGCUCCGGUGGCACCUGCAGCCACCUGUAGGGUGUGCCUUUUCCUCUAGUAUUAUUGGAAAUAAGAUAGACAAUCAAGUGUUCACUUCCUAAGGAUGUAUGGAGCUGUCGGCAAAUCAUUAAUCUCUCUUUAAACCACGGUGACAAUAUUUACAUUUAAGAUCAAGAUGAUGAUUAUCUGAAGAACUCCCCUGGAAGCUCUUCUCACAACUGGAAAAACACAGCAGCCAGUUAGCAGAGCCACGUCCCAGGCCAAAAUAACUGCCUGACAGUCCACGGGGCCAGGAGUCUACAGGGUGUUGGCGUGGGGAGGCGUGCUUCCCGCAGAGGCUGGAGGGCUGCUGUUGGCAGAGUAGAUGGAGCUGCUCGGGGCACAGCAUUCUGGCCCAACCUUGCAGGAAUGUGGUUCUGACAAACCAGCUGGAGAAAAGCAUUUCUGAAAAGAACUGUUUUAAGUUAUU